rnacentral:rRNA from 4 species
AUGCAUGUCUAAGCACAGGCCUAAACACGGUGAAGCUGCGAAUGGCUCAUUAUAAACGGCUAUGAUUUAUUGGACAAUACCUAGUUACUUGGAUAACUGUGGUAAUUCUAGAGCUAAUACAUGCAACACGGCUCCGACCCCCGCGAGGGGGGAAGAGCGAGUUUAUUAGAUCGAUAUCAAACCAAUGAGGGGUCCGCCCCUCGCCUAUUGGUGAAUCUGGAUAACUUUGUUCUGAUCGCACGGCCUUGGCGCCGGCGACGUAUCUUGCAAGUGUCCGCCCUAUCAACUCGAGUCGGUAGGUGCCUUGCCUACCGAGGUGAUUACGGGUAACGGGGAAUCAGGGUUCGAUUCCGGAGAGGGAGCAUGAGAAACGGCUACCACA